CAGUCGCCGCGGGAAUACGUAGGGUGCGAGCGCUAAUCGGAAUUACUGGGCGUAAAGCGUGCGCAGGCGGUUGUGUAAGACAGGUGUGAAAUCCCCGGGCUUAACCUGGGAACUGCGCUUGUGACUGCACAGCUAGAGUAUGGCAGAGGGGGGUGGAAUUCCACGUGUAGCAGUGAAAUGCGUAGAGAUGUGGAGGAACACCGAUGGCGAAGGCAGCCCCCUGGGCCAAUACUGACGCUCAUGCGCGAAAGCGUGGGGAGCAAACAGGAUUAGAUACCCGGGUAGUCCCUGUCUCUUAUAC
rnacentral:rRNA from 1 species